rnacentral:rRNA from 1 species
CCUACGGUGCGCUGCAGUGGGGAAUAUUGGACAAUGGGCGAAAGCCUGAUCCAGCCAUGCCGCGUGUGUGAAGAAGGCCUUCGGGUUGUAAAGCACUUUCAGUGGGGAAGAAAGCCUUGGGGCUAAUACCCUCGAGGAAGGACAUCACCCACAGAAGAAGCACCGGCUAACUCCGUGCCAGCAGCCGCGGUAAUACGGAGGGUGCGAGCGUUAAUCGGAAUUACUGGGCGUAAAGCGCGCGUAGGCGGUCUGAUAAGCCGGUUGUGAAAGCCCCGGGCUCAACCUGGGAACGGCAUCCGGAACUGUCAGGCUAGAGUGCAGGAGAGGAAGGUAGAAUUCCCGGUGUAGCGGUGAAAUGCGUAGAGAUCGGGAGGAAUACCAGUGGCGAAGGCGGUCUUCUGGACUGACACUGACGCUGAGGUGCGAAAGCGUGGGUAGCAAACAGGAUUAGAUACCCGAGUAGUC